rnacentral:rRNA from 1 species
GUCCUUUUGAAAAAAAUUUAAGGUCUAACCUGCCCACUGAUAGAUUUAAGGGCCGCGGUAUUUUGACCGUGCUAAGGUAGCAUAAUCAUUAGUUUUUUAAUUGAAAGCUGGAAUGAAGGGUUGAAUGAAAAAAUAACUGUCUUUAAUUAAUUUAAUUAGAAUUUUAUUUUUAAGUUAAAAAGCUUAAAUAAAUUUAAAAGACGAGAAGACCCUAUAGAGUUUAAUAUAAUAAUAUUUUUAAAUUUUAGUAUUUAUUUUUUUAAUUAAUUAUUAUAUUGGAUUGGGGUGAUUAAAAAAUUUAAUUAACUUUUUUUUUAUUGGUAUAUUGAUUAAUAAAUAAAUGAUCCAAUAUUUUUGAUUAUAAGAUUAAAUUACCUUAGGGAUAACAGCGUAAUUUUAUUGGAGAGUUCAAAUCGAUAAUAAAGAUUGCGA